AUUGAACGCUGGCGGAAUGCUUUACACAUGCAAGUCGAACGGCAGCACGGACUUCGGUCUGGUGGCGAGUGGCGAACGGGUGAGUAAUGUAUCGGAACGUGCCCAGUCGUGGGGGAUAACGUAGUGAAAAUUACGCUAAUACCGCAUACGAUCUAUGGAUGAAAGCGGGGGAUCGCAAGACCUCGCGCGAUUGGAGCGGCCGAUAUCAGAUUAGGUAGUUGGUGGGGUAAAGGCCCACCAAGCCAACGAUCUGUAGCUGGUCUGAGAGGACGACCAGCCACACUGGAACUGAGACACGGGCCAGACUCCUACGGGAGGCAGCAUUGGGGAAUUUUGGACAAUGGGCGAAAGCCUGAUCCAGCCAUUCCGCGUGCAGGAUGAAGGCCCUCGGGUUGUAAACUGCUUUUGUACAGAACAAAAAGGUUUCUACUAAUACUAGGAGCUCAUGACGGUACUGUAAGAAUAAGCACCGGCUAACUACGUGCCAGCCGCCGCCGUAA
rnacentral:rRNA from 1 species